AAAUACAUUCAGCUCUUUCCAUUUGUUGUCUCCUUGGCAGGAAUUAGCUAGUCACACUGCUGUCUCUCCUGAUUCCUUGCUGAUGAGGUUGGGCACGGGGCAGGUCCAGAGGUUUCUCUGACUGGGCUGAAGGAUUCUUGCUGACCAGUGCGAAUGGGCCCUUUACAGUAGGAAAUACCAGCGCUGUGAGGAACAACCCAAAGAAGCUCCUCUCUCAUCUGACCCCUGGCAGCUAGCCCCUGGCCUUCUCAGCAUCCCCACCUCUUGGUAGGAUGGGAAUUCCUUACUUCAUCCCCUGGGUUUCUGCAAGGUGGGCAGGGCACGCCAAGUGAGGAAAGAAAUGAGAGAGGAGGAAGAGCGAAAGCAAGAAAGGAAGCAUAAGAAGAAAGGAAACACGGGACAGUAAAGAGAGGAGAGGGGAGAAUGGGCAGGGGCAGGAGAGAGCAGAAUGGUCUUUGCAGCACAGUGCCUCCGGUGAUACCAUCAUCAUUGUCUUGCCUGAGCAGAUGUGCAAGGAUUCCAUCUACUCAUUAUACAGCAUGGAAAUGGAACACGUUUGUUUCUAUCAGCCUCAUCGGAAAUCUUGGCAGAUGCUGUCCGAAAGUGCGUACUGCUUCGGAGAUGUGAUCUUUCAACAGCGCAUACUGUACUUUUUUGAUUGGGGUUGGAAAAGACAGGAAGAGGGAGCUGAUUGUGUUUUUGUUUUGUUGUUUAAUUUUGAAAUUACUCUCUCCAAGGAGGCUUUUCCUUAGACCACACGGAGCUCCUCUGACUAGCCAGGAUGGCACAACCAGGGGUCUGGGGCUGGCCAGCAGGCUUAGGGCCACCCUAAAGCCCUGUGCCAAGGGCCCAUUCCUUUGAAAUAGCCCCCUCUGUACAGGGUUCAGAGCUCCCCCUUCAUGGCUCUCACCUCCCCUUAGUCCAGCAUUAUUCUGAGCUUCCACUCUCCUCCACUGCACUUCAGCCUCGACCUCCGUGUCCCUGUCUCGCCUGAAGACAUCUGAAGUGGGUGGUUCAAGCAAAGAGCAUUUUGUUCCACGCUGAACGAGGCUCAGGGAGACCGGUAGUGCCAGAGACAGGAGUGGGCACCAUUCGUCACUAAACUAAAGCCUCGCAGUGUGCAAGUUCCCCACGACAAACACCACCUUUCCCUGGGAAGACAGCCAAGACCUGGAGCCCUGCGUAGGAAAUCCCCAGUGAGAGGCCCUUCCUGAGCGCCACAGAAAAUGGUUCUUUUCAUCGACUGAGUCCCCUUCCUUUCUAGCGUACAGGCCCACAUCACAUCCCCCUUCCUGGCCUUCUACACUCCGCUCACAUGCCAAGUGCCCCGCCCUGGCGCCUCAUGGCUCCUGUGUCCCUUCCCUUUCCCCUCCACGCUCACUGGGCUCCCCCAGCCCUCACAAAGCCUCCUCCUUCCCCCAGUAGGGCUGCCGACUCUCCCUCCAUCCAGCAAGCACCCUGUGCCCCCACGUGAAACUGUUCCGUGCCAUGUCCUCACAUCUCCAGAGGCUCCUCUCGGGUUGAACAGAAAUGGUUUGUUGACUUUACCAGAUUAGCAAGGGGAGCAAAUUCCACAGAUGCCUCUGUCCCUCAGUCUCAAAGUUCAGACCUCCAGCUUGAUAGCAGGAGGAGGUGAUGCGGGCAGCCUGAGAGUGCAUGAAAGAAUGACAGCUAACAGUCCCUCUUCAUGGGGUAGUUGCUAGCCGGCAGGCAAAGGUCGACACCUCUCACGGCUUCUUAAUGUAAUCCUCACGACAAUCCUCUCUCUAUUCCUAGCCCUGCUUUACAGAGGAGGAACGAGAUGGCACGUGAGGCUAGGGAGAGGCAGACCCGGAGUGUGCCUGGAGGAUGGCACUCCUGCGCCCCUGGGAUUACCUCUCCCAACAUGCACUGCCAGGAGCAGGAGACUUGGAUUCCAGCCUCCUCCUGCCACUGCUCAGGCACUCAGAGAGAUCCCCAAGCUUCCAGGACUCAAGACCAGCCCCAGAGAUAGAGCAACAGAGAUAUCAAGAGAGAGAGUGAGAAGCAGGCUCCCAGCCAAGCAGCCGCAGGGAGCCUGACAACGGGGCUGACCCCAGGACUCUGAGAUCACGACCUGAGCCGAAGGCAGACGCUCAACCGACUGAGCCACCCAGGCGCCCCUCCCAUGGGAUAAAUUCUCCCAUCACCUGAUUUCAAGCUCCCAAUGUGACAUUACUGAACAAGGAGUUAGGAGAGAUGUGUAGAAACACACCAUCAUAUGAUAUUUCCACCAUACAGAUACAGUAGAUGUGAAUAACCUCAAAAGGACAAAAAAUAGUAAAAAGUAGUAAAAUAAGUAGGGACUUUUGAUUAGUUAUUACCUUUGUUUUAAAUCUAAUUUAUUCUAUUUUAAUUUUAUGUAACUUAACCUUUAAUAAUUAUUGUGUUUCAUGAUCAGCUUGCAAAUUUCCUGAAAGCUUAAUAAAUCGGUUUGCAACUGGUUUGAGCUGGUUCUGGCACACCACUGCUAGGGUCAAGUACAAGGAUUUGCUUUUUUUUUUUUUUUUUAAGAUUCAUUUAUUCAUUUAAGAGAGAGAGAAUG